rnacentral:rRNA from 1 species
AGCGAACGCUGGCGGCAGGCUUAACACAUGCAAGUCGAGCGGGCACCUUUGGGUGUCAGCGGCAGACGGGUGAGUAACACGUGGGAACGUACCCUUUGGUUCGGAACAACUCUGGGAAACUGGAGCUAAUACCGGAUACGCCCUUAUGGGGAAAGGUUUACCGCCGAAGGAUCGGCCCGCGUCUGAUUAGCUAGUUGGUGAGGUAACGGCUCACCAAGGCGACGAUCAGUAGCUGGUCNGAGAGGAUGAUCAGCCACACUGGGACUGAGACACGGCCCAGACUCCUACGGGAGGCAGCAGUGGGGAAUAUUGGACAAUGGGCGCAAGCCUGAUCCAGCCAUGCCGCGUGAGUGAUGAAGGCCUUAGGGUUGUAAAGC